GACGAACGCUGGCGGCGUGCUUAACACAUGCAAGUCGAACGGAAAGGCCCUGCGUGUGUGGGGUUCUCGAGUGGCGAACGGGUGAGUAACACGUGAGUAACCUGCCCUUCACUUUGGGAUAACUUCAGGAAACUGGGGCUACUCCCGUAUAGCAUCUCCUGCUGCAUGGAGGGGGUUGGAAAGUUUAGGCGGUCGGGGCUGGACUCGGGGGUUAAGAGCUUGUUGGUUGGGUAGUUGCUUACCAAGGCUUUGACGGGUAGCCGGCCUGAGAGGGUGGCCGGCCACAUUGGGACUGAGAUACGGCCCAGACUCCUACGGGAGGCAGCAGUGGGGAAUAUUGCACAGUGGGCGGAAGCCUGAGGCAGCAACGCCGCGUGCGGGAUGACGGCCUUCGGGUUGUAAACCGCUUUCGCCUGUGACGAAGCGGGAGUGACGGUAAUGGAUAAAGAAGCACCGGCUAACUACGUG
rnacentral:rRNA from 1 species